ACUGCUAAUACCGCAUAAGCCCACAGAACCGCAUGGUUCUGGGGGAAAAGGAGCAAUUCGCUCUGGGAUGGACUCGCGUCCGAUUAGCUGGAUGGUGAGGUAACGGCCCACCAUGGCAACGAUCGGUAGCCGGACUGAGAGGUUGAUCGGCCACAUUGGGACUGAGACACGGCCCAGACUCCUACGGGAGGCAGCAGUGGGGAAUAUUGCACAAUGGGGGAAACCCUGAUGCAGCGACGCCACGUGAGUGAAGAAGUAUCUCGGUAUGUAAAGCUCUAUCAGCAGGGAAGAAAAUGACGGUACCUGACUAAGAAGCCCCGGCUAACUACGUGCCAGCAGCCGCGGUAAUACGUAGGGGGCAAGCGUUAUCCGGAUUUACUGGGUGUAAAGGGAGCGCAGACGGCGAUGCAAGUCUGGAGUGAAAGCCCGGGGCUCAACCCCGGGACUGCUUUGGAAACUGUAUGGCUAGAGUGCUGGAGAGGCAAGCGGAAUUCCUAGUGUAGCGGUGAAAUGCGUAGAUAUUAGGAAGAACACCAGUGGCGAAGGCGGCUUGCUGGACAGUAACUGACGUUCAGGCUCGAAAGCGUGGGGAGCAAACAGG
rnacentral:rRNA from 1 species